GGCGGGCGGAAUGCGGAACAGGAUCGCAGGGUGAUGGGGAGACGCAGCUUGCAGGAUUAGAACUGUGCUCAGGGAGGGCUCAUUGAGAAGGCAAGAUUCAAAUGAAGACUUGGAGGAGGUGAGGGAGCAAGGCACGCAGAAACGUGGGAGGAUAGCCCUUCACGGAGAGGGCCCAGACGGUGUAAGAACCCCGGGCAGGGACUCGCCUGCUGUGUCUGAGGAAAAGCUGGGAGGCUUGUGCGGCUCCGGGGGACGUGGGGGGCGAAUGAGGAAUUGUAGGCAGGGGGUGGAGGUCGGGGAAGUGAAGGGCUCAGACGAGGCAAGGCCUGGUACGGGCUCAGGCAUGCUCUGUGUAUCUGGAGGCACUGGGGCAUGGAGCAGAGGAGAGGGUUUGACUGGGUUUUAGCAGAAGCCCUCUGGACGCUUUGGGUGACCGGUAGGAGCAGGGAGACCUGUUAGGAGGCUACUGCAGAAGUCCAGGCAAGAGAUGAUAGAGGCCGUGGUGGGCAGCUGGCCACAGGGCCAGAGAAGAGGCCAGCUCCUGCAUAAGAAAGAGGGCUGCAGUCUUACUGCAUGAGCAUGGACCACAGGGCAUUUGCAGCCAUCUCCCCAGAGGCAGGUCAGUGGCAAUGCAGGGCUGUGCUGGCCUAGGGACAGUCCUGCAACCCCAGAGUAGCCCUGAGCGGCACAGCCCCCCAGGUGCAAAGGGCAGGGCGGCACCCGCAGCCCCACCUCAGGGUGCCAAGGAGUGCGGUCACCUUGUAAAUGCCACCUGGGUCUCUCUGGAGGGGCCACAUGCUGGCGUAAACUGGAGGUUGCUCUAGGCCUGGCUCCCAGCCCCAUCUCCACGAGUAAGUGGCGUAGACUUCCCACUGAGCUUGAACGUCUUCAUCUGGGGAGUGAGGAGUUGGGCCCCAGGAUCUCUAGGGUGAAUGAAAUGCCACCUCUAAAAUUCUGUAAUUCCAGAAUCUCUCCACUUCCUUGACUCAGUGGCAGCCUACUUUCCAUCCUAAUGACUUAAAAAUUCACAUAAACACACUUAGUGUAUAACUCUGUCUUUCUGUUUCAUUUUUUAGUUACAUUAUUCCAGAUAAUACUCUACUUGCUUGCCAAGAGAAGAAAAAAAUGACAUUAAUUAAAGAUUUGGUCUGUGUCCUAAUCAAAAAUUUUAAAAAUGAAUGUAUCAUACUGUACAUUCUGUAACAUAGCCUGCUUUUUUACUUAGCAAUAUAUCAUUAACAUUUUCCCAUGUCAACACAUAUUCUUCCAAACCAUGAUUUUCAGUGCAGAAGUAGUUUACCAUAUGGAUGUACUAUAAUUUACUCAGCCAGUCCUUCACUAUUGGACAUUAGGUUGUAUCCAUUUUUUUAUAUUAUUACCAGUGCUGCAAUGAACAAAGUUGUAAACACCCACCCUUCAUUGACAUCUGUAGUGACUUUCUUAGAAGAAAUUCUCAGAGGUCAAAGGUUUCACACAUUCCAGGACUUCUUGGUAGAUAUUACUAGAAUGCCACCCAGAAUUUAGAAUUUCUAUCAGUUUAGAAUCCAACCAAUAGCAUAUGAAUAACCAUCAGGACAAUCAAAUUUUACAGCUGAAAGGAGACUUAGCAAUGUCGUGUUCCAGCCACGCUGCUCCUCGGAGCAGGCUGCAUGCUCAGUUUCUCCUUCUCCACUUCCUGUUCGUCCGUCCUCCACUGAAACUGCUCCUCCUGUGGCCCUCUCCCUGCCGCAUCUGAUGGAGACUUGUCAGUUCUCAUCCCAGGGCCAUCUCUGUGACCGUUAAUGACAUCUCCCAUUUUGAAACUCG